rnacentral:rRNA from 1 species
AACGAACGCUGGCGGCAGGCUUAACACAUGCAAGUCGAACGCCCCGCAAGGGGAGUGGCAGACGGGUGAGUAACGCGUGGGAAUCUACCCAGAUCUUCGGAACAACUGAGGGAAACUUCAGCUAAUACCGGAUACGCCCUACGGGGGAAAGAUUUAUCGGUUCUGGAUGAGCCCGCGUUGGAUUAGCUAGUUGGUGGGGUAAUGGCCUACCAAGGCGACGAUCCAUAGCUGGUCUGAGAGGAUGAUCAGCCACACUGGGACUGAGACACGGCCCAGACUCCUACGGGAGGCAGCAGUGGGGAAUAUUGGACAAUGGGCGAAAGCCUGAUCCAGCCAUGCCGCGUGAGUGAUGUAGGCCUUCGGGUUGUAAAGCUCUUUAGCCGACGAAUAUAAUGACUGUAGUCGGAGAAUAAGCCCCGGCUAACUUCGUGCCAGCAGCCGCCGUAACAC